GCAAGAGGAAAAAAGUAGAAAGAGGAAACAGAGGUUACUGAAAAAGCCUACGAAACGUAUUGGAAUCUGACUGAGGCUAAGUCAACAGAUGGCAGGGAUACGAUAGGAGAGGAGUUUCAAAAGAGGUACCAGUUGUUUGUGUGUGAUUCUCAGAAUCUGCCUGGACGUUCCUGCAGUUUUUUUGGAGAAGUUUUCUAAAACUGGUCUGCCAUCGCCUCUUCUUAAG